rnacentral:rRNA from 1 species
AGAGUUUGAUCAUGGCUCAGGAUGAACGCUGGCGGCGUGCUUAAUACAUGCAAGUCGAACGGGGAGUAGCAAUACUUCUAGUGGCGAACGGGUGAGUAACGCGUGGGUGACCUGCCCCGAAGUGUGGGAUAACAGUUCGAAAGGACUGCUAAUACCGCAUGCAGUUUCAGGGAUUAGAAGCCUGAAACAAAAGGAGCAAUCCGCUUUGGGAGGGACCUGCGACCCAUCAGCUAGUUGGUAAGGUAGUGGCUUACCAAGGCGACGACGGGUAGGGGACCUGAGAGGGUGACCCCCCACACUGGCACUGAAACACGGGCCAGACACCUACGGGUGGCAGCAGUAGGGAAUAUUGCACAAUGGGCGCAAGCCUGAUGCAGCAACGCCGCGUGCGCGAUGAAGGCCUUCGGGUCGUAAAGCGCUUUUCUGGGAGACGAGGAAGGACGGUAUCCCAGGAAUAAGGCUCGGCUAACUACGUGCCAGCAGCCGCGGUAAAACGUAGGAGCCAAGCGUUAUCCGAAUUUACUGGGCGUAAAGCGCGUGCAGGCGGCUGAGUAAGUGGGCUGUAAAAUCUCCCGGCUCAACUGGGAGGGGACGGUCCAGACUGCUUGGCUCGAGGCAGGUAGAGGGAGGUGGAAUUCCGGGUGUAGUGGUGAAAUGCGUAGAUAUC